rnacentral:rRNA from 1 species
AACGAACGCUGGCGGCGUGCCUAACACAUGCAAGUCGAACGAGAAAGGGGCUUCGGCUCCGAGUAAAGUGGCGCACGGGUGAGUAACACGUGGGUAACCUGCCUCUAAGAUUGGGAUAACCCGAGGAAACUCGAGCUAAUACCGGAUACCCCCACGAGAUCGCAUGGUCUUGUGAGGAAAUGUCUUUUCGCUUCGGGAGGGCCUCGCGGCCUAUCAGCUAGUUGGUGGGGUAACGGCCCACCAAGGCAUCGACGGGUAGCUGGUCUGAGAGGACGAUCAGCCACACUGGGACUGAGACACGGCCCAGACUCCUACGGGAGGCAGCAGUGGGGAAUCUUGCGCAAUGGGCGAAAGCCUGACGCAGCAACGCCGCGUGGGGGACGAAGGCUCUCGGGUUGUAAACCCCUUUCAGGAGGGACGAAAUUGACGGUACCUCCAGAAGAAGCCCCGGCCAACUACGUGCCAGCCGCCGCGGUAAAAC